rnacentral:rRNA from 1 species
AUUGAACGCUGGCGGCAGGCCUAACACAUGCAAGUCGAGCGGAUGAAGGGAGCUUGCUCCUGGAUUCAGCGGCGGACGGGUGAGUAAUGCCUAGGAAUCUGCCUGGUAGUGGGGGAUAACGUCCGGAAACGGGCGCUAAUACCGCAUACGUCCUGAGGGAGAAAGUGGGGGAUCUUCGGACCUCACGCUAUCAGAUGAGCCUAGGUCGGAUUAGCUAGUUGGUGGGGUAAAGGCCUACCAAGGCGACGAUCCGUAACUGGUCUGAGAGGAUGAUCAGUCACACUGGAACUGAGACACGGUCCAGACUCCUACGGGAGGCAGCAGUGGGGAAUAUUGGACAAUGGGCGAAAGCCUGAUCCAGCCAUGCCGCGUGUGUGAAGAAGGUCUUCGGAUUGUAAAGCACUUUAAGUUGGGAGGAAGGGCAGUAAGUUAAUACCUUGCUGUUUUGACGUGACCAACAGAAGAAGCACCGGCUAACUUCGU